rnacentral:lncRNA from 1 species
GGCGGGGUCAUUAGACACUUUUUUUUUAAAAGAUACCCUAGUUAUGAUUGUGGCCAAGUUUGGCUAAAUUUGGCCCAUAGUUUUAGAGAAGAAGAUUUUUGUACAAAUUACAAAAAUGACGAAAAGUUGUUCAAUAUUGACUAUAAAGGGCAAUAACUCCUUAAGGGGUCCUCUUACAAUUUUGAUCAUGCUGACUUAUUUGUAGAUCUUAC